rnacentral:rRNA from 1 species
CCUACGAGUGGCAGCAGUGAGGAAUAUUGGUCAAUGGACGAGAGUCUGAACCAGCCAAGUAGCGUGAAGGAUGACUGCCCUAUGGGUUGUAAACUUCUUUUAUAUGGGAGUAAAAUGUUCCACGUGUGGGUUUUUGUAUGUACCAUCUGAAUAAGCAUCGGCUAACUCCGUGCCAGCAGCCGCGGUAAUACGGAGGAUCCGAGCGUUAUCCGGAUUUAUUGGGUUUAACGGGAGCGAUGAUGGAUUGUUAAGUCAGUUGUGAAAGGUUGCGGCUCAACCUGAAAAGUGCAGUUGAAACUGGCAGGCUUGAGAACAGGAGAGGUGUGCGGAAGUCGUGGUGUAGCGGUGAAAUGCUUAGAUAUCACGAAGAACUCCGAUUGCGAAGGCAGCUCACUGGACUGCAACUGACACUGAGGCUCGAAAGUGUGGGUAUCAAACAGGAUUAGAUACCCUGGUAGUC